UGAGGAAUUUUGGACAAUGGGCGCAAGCCUGAUCCAGCCAUGCCGCGUGCAGGAUGAAGGCCUUCGGGUUGUAAAGCUCUUUUGUCAGGGAAGAAACGGUGGGGGCUAAUAUCCUUCGCUAAUGACGGUACCUGAAGAAUAAGCACCGGCUAACUACGUGCCAGCAGCCGCGGUAAUACGUAGGGUGCAAGCGUUAAUCGGAAUUACUGGGCGUAAAGCGUGCGCAGGCGGUUUUGUAAGUCUGACGUGAAAUCCCCGGGCUCAACCUGGGAAUUGCGUUGGAGACUGCAAGGCUAGAAUCUGGCAGAGGGGGGUAGAAUUCCACGUGUAGCAGUGAAAUGCGUAGAGAUGUGGAGGAACACCGAUGGCGAAGGCAGCCCCCUGGGUCAAGAUUGACGCUCAUGCACGAAAGCGUGGGGAGCAAACAGGAUUAGAUACCCCGGUAGUCCCUGAGCGGGCUGGCAAGGCGCAU
rnacentral:rRNA from 1 species